AUGAUUAGGAUUAUUAUAUACAAGUUCUGUAGUGAGGCAAAGGGUCUGAUUGAGAUACGAACGAUUUAUGAGGAGCCUUCCAAGCAUCAUGUGCAAAUCAUCUAUAAUACCAGUAAUCAAUCAAAGCAUGAGCAGGGCCUCCAGCCAGUAAAACAAGCAGGAGGCCAUCAAAAGAAGCUAGAACAACAUUUGGUAAAUUCUAAGAGGAAUCCAUCAAAGGUUCUAUAAGCAGGAGAUAAAACAAUGCUGCUCCUGUUUGCUUAAUAGAGAGAUCUUGGGAUUGUGAUUCAUACCGAAGAGUGGGAAGAAUCAAAACUUUGAAGCAAUAAUGAAUUCAUAUGGGAUACGCAUAUGACUGAUGCAGUUUGCAAUGGUUUAAAAUUACUAUAUAAUUUUGUGUUUUGAGUA